UACGUAGGGACCGAGCGUUGUCCGGAAUCAUUGGGCGUAAAGAGCGUGUAGGCGGCUAUUUAAGUCCUGCGUGAAAUCCUGCGGCUCAACCGCAGACGGUCGUGGGAAACUGGAUGGCUAGAGUGCGGGAGAGGAGAGUGGAAUUCCCGGUGUAGCGGUGAAAUGCGCAGAUAUCGGGAAGAACACCCGUGGCGAAGGCGGCUCUCUGGGCAGUAACUGACGCUGAGGAGCGAAAGCGUGGGGAGCGAACAGG
rnacentral:rRNA from 1 species